rnacentral:rRNA from 1 species
UACGUAGGGUGCGAGCGUUAAUCGGAGUUACUGGGCGUAAAGCGUGCGCAGGCGGUUCGCCAAGUCAGGUGUGAAAUCCCCGGGCUUAACCUGGGAAUUGCGCUUGAAACUAGCGGGCUUGAGUGUGGCAGAGGGGGGUGGAAUUCCACGGUGUAGCAGUGAAAUGCGUAGAGAUGUGGAGGAACACCGAUGGCGAAGGCAGCCCCCUGGGUCAACACUGACGCUCAUGCACGAAAGCGUGGGGAGCAAACAGG